UUUUUUUUUUUUUUUUUUUUUUUUUUUUUUUUUUUUUAUGGCAUCGCGCUCCUGGCGCAUUCAGCCAAACGAGUAAAACGGGGAAACGGAAUUAAAGGAUUACAUUAUAACGGAUAUGUCGGAAUUUGGACAAGGAUCAGGGAAUGGUAAUAUAUUAUAAUAAAUUAUAAUUUUAUAUUAUGACGUGAAAGGAAUGAAUACAAUGAUUUAAAUAUAUAUGGAGAAGAAUUAUUAAUAUACAGGAGUGUUCUAAUAGAUGUGGGAAACGGAACUUUUAAAUCUGACAGCUGUCUUAAUAAUAUAGAACGGUCAUAUAGGUUACAAUUACCUGAAAAGAAUAUAUGAUUAAGAUCAGCGGGAUCAGCUCCACAAAUACAUGCGGAACUGGCCACGCGAUUUUGUAGUUUCAGGUGUUCCGGUGUACAUACGUGACCCAAUCUCAUUCGAAUUAACAUACUGGUUGCAGGCUUUGGCAAAGAGAUUUUAGCAAACCAAGGUUUGGCAGGAAUUGAUCUUUGUAUGCUCCGAUAAUGUAACGCAGCGGCACCCGCACCAGAUGCCCAUAAUUUUGUCCAUUCCUUUCUUAGGUAUAUUUUAGGCAGUGCCAACAGGUCUUCCGCAACAUUCUUAAAUGGAAACAUGUCUCCAGAACUAAUGGCAUCUCGAGCUAAGUCAUCCACCCUUUCAUUACCUUUAAUCCCUCUGUGUCCAGGGAUCCAGGCAAUGGAAACCGAGUAACCUUUAAGAUGACAUUUUUGCAGUAGACUACGGAUUUGAUAAAUAAUUGGGUUAUUAGAUUUAGAUUUGAAAGGAAAUUUAGAUAUUGAUUGAAGAGAACUUAAAGAGUCUGAAAAAAUGACUGUUUUUUUAAGAUGCAUUAUGAUGAUAAACUCUAAUGCUUUAAGGAUUCCAAAGCACUCACCACUAUACACAGAGGAUUCUGGAGGCAAUUUUAUCUUUUGGUAAAUAUUAGAUUGAAUGUGAAGCACACCAAUACCGACACAACCAUUGGUGGACAUCUUAGAAGCAUCUGUAUACAUAUGGUUAGCACCCUGACAAUCAGUAUCAAUAAAACUCAGAAAUUGUUGAUUUUGAUCUAUAUCAUUCUUUGAUAUACCUAUAUCCAGGAGAACUGGUGGAACUAGUAUAAGAGACUCAUAUUCAUGCUGAAAAAUGGGAAGUGAUGAAGAGCUAACAGUGGGAGCUGAAAUAGAUUUAAGUUUUUGAAAACUUUUGAUUAAGCAAGGAGGGCUCUUGUGUUUCCAAUAGUUGGAUGUACUUAUUUGAAGUAGAAGGUUAGACAAGAUAAUCCAGAGUUGGUGAUUAGAGAAUUGGGAGCAACGGAAAAUAAAUCUAUCACAAAGAUAUUGGCGUCGUAAAUGGAGCGGAGGCUCACAACACUCAACUUGCAUAGCAUUGAUAGGGCUUGAUUUCAUGGCACCACAAAUUAUUCUCAAGGCUUUAGAUUGAAUAUGAUCUAGUUUUUGGAAGCCAACGACAUAUCCAGGCUCUAACAAAAAUGUCCCAUAAUCUAAAAUGCUUCUUAUUAAGGCAUUGUACAUUAGUUUCAUACAAAAAGGAUGGGAACCCCACCAAACUCCAGAAACACACCUAAGGAUAUUAAUAUUUUUUUCACAUUUAGAAACUAUGUACUCACAAUGUGGGAGACCUGUUAAUUUACUAUCUAAAAUUACACCAAGGAAUUUAGUUUUAUCUUUUACUGAAAUGGAGUAGUUAUCAAAUUGCACUUUGAUUGGAGGAGGAAAUAGUUUUCUAGUAAAUAAAACUACAACACUUUUAGGAACAGAAAGUUCUAAACCAUUAGAAUCUAACCAUGACCUCAAGAAACAUAAGGAACAAGUGACUGAUCUACUAGCCUGUUCAGGAGAAAGAUUUGAUGAAUAAAGUAAUAAAUCAUCGGCAUACUGUAAGACCCUAACAGUACCAUUUAGAGAUGACUCUAAAUCAGAUGUAUAGAUAUUGUAUAAUAAUGGACUUAAUACAGACCCUUGUGGUAGUCCUCUCCACACUAAACGAGAAAUUCUAUUGUUGUCAUUUAUAAGACUGAUGGACCGUUCAGAUAAAAGGUUUAUUACAAAAUGACUUAACAUUUGUGGAAUGCCUAACUUGAAAAGCUUUUCCUGUAACACUGAAACUAAUACAUUAUCAUAAGCAGCACUUAUAUCCAGAAAAGCAGCUACUACUGACUCAUUUUUAGAAAAUGCCAGUCGUAUAUCUGCAAUUAAUAUUGACAAACUAUCAUAAGUAGAUCUACCUUUUCGGAAUCCAAACUGACUAUGAGAUAAUAAAUGGUUCUUUUCAACAAAAAAUUCUAGCCUGUUUUUAAUUAAGUGUUCAGCUACUUUUGCAAAUACUGAGGAAAGGGCAAUAGGGCGAUAGGAAGAAACAUCUGAUGCUGGUUUAUUGGGUUUUAAAAUAGGAAUAACUAUCUGGGAUCUCCAUGAAUCUGGGACUAUACCGGACUGGAUAACCGAAUUUAUUAUGCUCAGAUAAUAAGAAAUACAUCAUCAGCUGCUUCUGUGAUCACCCGGGCCAAAGCAACCGAGCAACCAACUACGUCAGUAUCAUCUAAACUAGGCAAAAACAAUAAUUUCUUCUCUACACAGCAUUUAAAGUUUUUCCAGUCAGCAUUACAUAGAUUGUAUUUAAGCCUAGGGCUAGGUUUCGGAGAUGGUCGUGUAGAUGAAGGAAAUGAGACUAUAAUUGGAAAAUGAUCACUACCAAAUGUAGAAUCUAGAGUUUGCCAGGUGAAAGAAGAUGCCAGUUCAGCAGAGCAAAUGGAUAGAUCAACAGCGCUGGGUGAUUCUGUAGGCGCUGUACGGCGAGUUGGAGAGCCAGUAUUCAGGACACAAAGAUUGUGAUCAUCUAAGAUUUUUAAAACACGAUGUCCAUUAUAGUUGGAUACUGAACUGCCCCAAAACUGAUGGUGUGAAUUGAAAUCUCCUAGAAUCAACAAGGGCCUAGGUAGAGAGGAAAUUAUUUGUUCUAAUUCAUUAAAAAUAGAAGAUGAUUGAUGAGGAAUAUAUACAGAGAGGAUGCAGAUGUUAUUUACAAUGGCAGCAAUAAUUGAAAAAUCAUCACUAUGAGAUGGGAGAUGAAGAGAUGAAAAUGAUUCAGAAUUCCUGACGAGUAAAGCUACUCCACCCCACCCGUCAGGACGGUCCUCUCUGAGGCAUGAAUAGCCAGUAGCUCUUAGAAGAGCUCCAGGCUUGAGCCAUGUCUCAGAUAGGGCAAAAACACAAGGUUUAAAUUUAUUUAGUAAAUGAAUGAAAUCAUGUUUUUUAUUGAUUAUGCUUCUGCAAUUCCAUUGUAUUAUAUUGUCCAUUGUUUUUAAUUGCAAAUGUAAGAGAGUCAAUCAUAGGGGCAACGUGGGACGGUAAAGUAAGGUUUGGCUUGGACAAAAGAGUUCUUAAGGCCUCAAUAGACUCAGCGAUUACUAGUCGUUCUUCCUUUUCUGUUUCCUGACGUAGAGCACAACCGUUUGCAGGAGAAGGGAUGGAGUAUUCACUUAUUAUGGCCCGAUGUGCAGCCACAUCAUAGCCAUGGGUAGUCUUUUUAACAGAAGGACGAGGUUUCAACAAAAUAGUUUUUCUGCUGCUAUGGCUAGGAGGGCGCAUAUUCGAACUAGGGUUUGUAACUGAAUUUUGAGCACUAUUAUGUGGUAAAUUUGAUUGUAUAUGUGGUUGUGACUUAACCAUAUCAGCAAACGAUUUCGAUAUAGCUGGGUGCAGUUUAACGGCUUCUCCAUAGGAGAUGCAGUUAUUUGCCAUACUGACUUUAAUUUCUUUUUGCCUUACAUGUUCUGGGCAUGACCUGUUUGUGGCAAAGUGAAAGCCAUUGCAUAAACAGCAAAUGGCAUCCUCCUCCUCCACUGCACAGGUAUUUCCAGGAUGCAUUUCCCCGCACUUGAAACAUUUAGGCUUCGAACGACAGUUAUUUUUGGUAUGUCCAAAUUUACAGCAUAAAAAGCAUUGAAUGGUAGGAAAAAUGUACAAUUCAACGGCAAGAGAGUUGUAGCAUGAAAAGACUCGUUUCGGUAAUACUUGACCGUCAAAUGUCAAUACAACUGUCUCUGAGGGUUGCCAGGUAACAGAACCGUUAACCACAACUCUGUGGUUCAAACGUCGUACUUUUAAUACUUUUCCACACCCCAUGGGCACGGAAAUGUUGGAAACUAUUUCCUCCUCCGACCACUGUGCUGGAAUACCUCGAACCAAGCCCAUACGGGUCACAGAAAACGACGGAAUGUAUGCGGUAAGAUUUUCUGAUUCAAGACACGUAUCAGUAACAAAUAAGUUUGCGUCAACGUAAUUUGAAAACGACAUCGCUAUACGUGUCCUACCAAUGCGCUUAACACUUCCAUUUAUAAUGUUUCUGAAGCCUUUUUUUAGUAAAAAUUUCCCAAAGGACACCGGGUGCAGAGAUGAUUUUGCAUCUGUUUGUUUCAUUUGUACGUGCACCGUGAAGGGAGCAACAUCGGAAGAUGAAAAUAAAUUCCUGCCAACCUUGGUAUUAGAAGAGUCAUUUUUUGUAUUUAAGUUAUCCGAAGAGUUUUUGGUAACCUGAAUGUUAGAGUUUGAAGGAGCUUGGGUUUCUUGUAUGAUGUUCUGACAAUCGCACGAAUAGUCCCCGCCAUUAUUUUUCCUUCUUUUUUUAUUACAUGUUUUGCAUCUUUUGUGA